rnacentral:rRNA from 1 species
UACGUAGGGUGCGAGCGUUAAUCGGAAUUACUGGGCGUAAAGCGUGCGUAGGCGGUUCGUUAAGUUCGUUGUGAAAGCCCCGGGCUCAACCUGGGAAUGGCAAUGGAAACUGGCGGGCUGGAGUAUGGCAGAGGGGGGUGGAAUUCCGCGUGUAGCAGUGAAAUGCGUAGAGAUGCGGAGGAACACCGAUGGCGAAGGCAGCCCCCUGGGCCAAUACUGACGCUCGGGCACGAAAGCGUGGGGAUCAAACAGG